GGGGACGUAGCUCAGCUGGGAGAGCGCCGGCUUUGCAAGCCGGAAGUCGUGGGUUCGAAUCCCAUCGUCUCCA
rnacentral:tRNA from 1 species